rnacentral:rRNA from 1 species
AACUUUAUGUAAUAACAUAUAAAGCUCUCUCUGCUCAAUGAUAAUAUUAAAUAGCCGCAGUACACUGACUGUGCAAAGGUAGCAUAAUAAAUUGGCUUAUAAUUGAAGUCUUGAAUGAAAGGUAACACGAGUAAAAUCUGUCUUUUAGAAAUAUUUUUAAUUUACUUAUUAAGUGAAAAUUCUUAAUUUAAAAAAUUAGACGAGAAGACCCUAGAAAUUUUUAUUAAUUUACUUAUAUCAUUUUUAUUGGGGCAAUAAAGUAUCAUUUCAAUAUACAAUUAUAAACAAAUAUAAUAUAUUAAAUAAGACAAAAUUACUCUAGGGAUAACAGCAUAAUUAUUGAUUUAGUUUGUGACCUCGAUGUUGGACUAGGGAAUAUAAUGAUUAGAAGUUAUUAUAAUUUGUUCUGUUCGAACAUUAAUUCCUACAUG